UACGUAGGGGGCAAGCGUUAUCCGGAAUCAUUGGGCGUAAAGCGCGUGUAGGCGGUUCCGUAAGUCCGCUCUGAAAGCCCAGGGCUCAACCCUGGGAGGCGGGUGGAUACUACGGAACUGGAGUACGGAAGAGGAGAUUGGAAUUCCUGGUGUAGCGGUGAAAUGCGCAGAUAUCAGGAGGAACACCGGUGGCGAAGGCGGGUCUCUGGGCCGAUACUGACGCUGAGGAGCGAAAGCGUGGGGAGCGAACAGG
rnacentral:rRNA from 1 species